UACGAAGGGGGCUAGCGUUGCUCGGAAUUACGGGCGUAAAGGGCGCGUAGGCGGACAGUUUAGUCAGAGGUGAAAGCCCAGGGCUCAACCUUGGAAUUGCCUUUGAUACUGGCUGUCUUGAGUACGGGAGAGGUGAGUGGAACUCCGAGUGUAGAGGUGAAAUUCGUAGAUAUUCGGAAGAACACCAGUGGCGAAGGCGACUCACUGGCCCGUUACUGACGCUGAGGCGCGAAAGCGUGGGGAGCAAACAGG
rnacentral:rRNA from 1 species